GUGCUUGCUUUGGCAUCAUAUACACUAAAAUUCGAAUGAUACAGAGUAACGUGGCCCCUGUGCAAGAAUGAAACACAAAUUCAUGAAGAGAAAGGAAAUUGG